rnacentral:rRNA from 1 species
GACGUAGGGCGCGAGCGUUGUCCGGAUUUAUUGGGCGUAAAGAGCUCGUAGGCGGCUUGUCGCGUCGAAUGUGAAAACCCACAGCUCAACUGUGGGCUUGCAUUCGAUACGGGCAGGCUCGAGUUCGGUAGGGGAGACUGGAAUUCCUGGUGUAGCGGUGAAAUGCGCAGAUAUACGAGGGAACGGAACCGUGCCGGUAGGGCCGGAAG